GACGAACGCUGGCGGCGUGCUUAACACAUGCAAGUCGAACGGAAAGGCCCUGCUUUUGUGGGGUGCUCGAGUGGCGAACGGGUGAGUAACACGUGAGUAACCUGCCCUUGACUUUGGGAUAACUUCAGGAAACUGGGGCUAAUACCGGAUAGGAUCUCCUGCUGCAUGGUGUGGGUUGGAAAGUUUCGGCGGUUGGGGAUGGACUCGCGGCUUAUCAGCUUGUUGGUGGGGUAGUGGCUUACCAAGGCUUUGACGGAUAGCCGGCCUGGGAGGGUGACCGGCGACAAUGGGACUGAGAUACGGCGCAGAAUCCUACGGGAGGCAGCAGUGGGGAAUAUGGCACAAUGGGCGGAAGCCUGAUGCAGCAACGCCGCGUGCGGGAUGACGGCCUUCGGGUUGUAAACCGCUUUCGCCUGUGACGAAGCGUGAGUGACGGUAAUGGGUAAAGAAGCACCGGCUAACUACGUG
rnacentral:rRNA from 1 species